GGCUCAGGAUGAACGCUAGCGGCAGGCUUAACACAUGCAAGUCGAGGGGCAGCGGAGCGGAGUGCUUGCACUCUGCUGCCGGCGACCGGCGCACGGGUGAGUAACACGUAUGCAACCUGCCCCGGAGCGGGGGAUAACCCGGCGAAAGCCGGACUAAUACCGCGUAUAUAUCCAGGAGGCAUCUUCUGGAUAGGAAAGGACUUCGGUCCGCUCCGGGAUGGGCAUGCGGCGCAUUAGGCAGACGGCGGGGUAACGGCCCACCGUACCGACGAUGCGUAGGGGUUCUGAGAGGAAGGCCCCCCACACUGGUACUGAGACACGGACCAGACUCCUACGGGAGGCAGCAGUGAGGAAUAUUGGUCAAUGGGCGAGAGCCUGAACCAGCCAAGCCGCGUGAGGGAAGAAGGCGCUCAGCGUCGUAAACCUCUUUAGCCGGGGGACAAAACCUCCUCGCGAAGGAGGCUUGAGAGUACCCGGAGAAUAAGCAUCGGCUAACUCCGUG
rnacentral:rRNA from 1 species